ACCGAAAAAAGCAUGGCCUCAGUCACAGUACUCCUUUUGAUUUCGUCUAUCUUCCCCUCUCUAAGUGAAAUAUGUUCUCUUUACUACACAUAUAGCGUCAUAGAGAAAUCUCUGACCUCUCGAGACAGUUAUGAAUUUUACAGCUCAAUCGAACUCAGUGACAUACAGAUGAGUUUCUGUAACAGUGUGGAUAAAGCAGAUUUCUUGACACAGUUGUGUGAGGAGUCUAAGAGUCUGUUCAGAAAUGAUAGUGAUGAGUUGAAUUAUAAACAACAAUGGCUUGAAAUCAACCUCAACACACUGAGAAAAGACACAGAUCUUCAUGUUCUUCAGUGGAGACACGGCUGUGCAGUUGAACGUCUCCCUAAUGGUUCAGUAACAUUUCUUCAAGGCACUGAUGAAUACGCCUAUGAUGGAGAGAACUUGACCUUUGACCUCUCUAUGCACUGGAAUGAAUCAGUUUCCAGCCUGGAGAGGAGAUGUGUGGAAACGUUAACUAGCUUCAUUGACCGUCAACGAGAGAGAAAAUUCAUCACGGCAGCUCGUCCUGAGGUUUACUCUUCUGUAAAAGCGUCUGGAUCAUCAGAGCAGCAGGUUCUGGUGUGUUUGGCCACAGGCUUCUUCCCUAAACAUGUACAGAUGGAGAUCAGACACAAUCAGAUGUCAUUACCUGAUGGGCAGCUGAACUCAAGUGGAAUCAGACCAAACGCAGACGGAUCCUUUCAGCUGAUGAAGAGCCUGAAGAUCCUGUCGUCUGAAAGAUCUCACUAUCAGUGUGUGGUGAAGCACCAGACUCUGACUGAACCACUCAUUGUCAGCUGGGAUGAAGUGAAUGUCCUACUGCCGGUGAUCAUUGGAGUUGUAGUUGCUUUAGUUGUUCUUGCCAUCAUUCUUCUUGUUUUUUAUCUGUUGAGAACAUGUGGUAAAUAUCGAAUUUCAGAAUCUCUGAAGACACAAACACAAUUAGUGAAAGGAUCGGUACUGUCGCUGAGUUCAUCCCAACUGUUAGUCAGAUUUCCAGUUAUAUUUUCAGAAUCUAGUUCUUGUGAAGAUCCAGAUUAUGGUAAUUUUCCAGACAUGGGCCUUUUGAAGAACAGUGGGGAGGAAGGCAUGUCUGCUAGAAGUUUCAGUGCAUGUUCUUGGGAAGAUCCAGAUUAUGGUGGGCUAUUCAUCUAUCAUACAGCACAAACAGAACCAGCAUUUUUGGAAGAAAUAAGAGCAGAAACACACGCAGGUUUGGCUGCUGCUUUAAAUGAUUCUUCAGAUGAGGAAAACACAGCAGAUGACAAUACGGAGGAGGUUCAGACUGAGGAGCUUCAUGAAACUCAAAGUCUUUGUGAGGCUAAAGAGACUCCAGCAGCAGCUCCUACAGCAGCUCGAGGGGCAAUGGGCUCUAAAAACAUCUCCCUGCCUAAUUUUGCCAUGGAGAGAGAGGACACUGAUCAGAACACUGUUACCCAGAACACACUGCAGUUACCACUGCCAAGAUGCUGCAGAUCCAAGAAUAUUUCACUGCCAAACCUCACUGUAGAUAGAAAAGACUCUGAAGACUCCAGCUAGAAAAUCUAUGUUCAGGUUGUUGUGAAGAAUUGGAUUUAGAGUUUUACUUCCAUUGUCAGUUACAAAAGUAUGUAGAAACAUGAACAUAAUAGUUAAAUGUGCAUGUUUAAUGAUAAAAGAGUGACUAGGGAGGUUUUUCACAACAUCCGAAAAAGCAUUAGGUCAGACACUGAAUCACCCUUAUGGACAUUUGGGUAUGAAGCACAAGUAUUUGUUUUGUUAAAAGAGAAUGACAUUGCAUUUAUUCACAUUAUUUGGAUUUAUGGUUCAUGGGUUCACGGACUCAGUCUUGCUCUCUGUGUGUGUGUGUGUGUCUGAAGUGUUUGUGGGCGUGGCAGCGUUACCUUGAUUGUACGCCAGCUGUUGCUUGUUGAGGCUCUGUAUUUAACUCCUGUGUUUCCGGCCUGUGUUGUCAGAUCGUUGUCUUCCGUCUUAGUGUGAGGAUUGUGUUCCAGUGCUCUGCUUUCGGCAACCUUCACUUGGGUCCUGUUUCCUGUUCGCUCCGAAUUCCUGGAUUAAUCUCCCUGGAGGUUCGGCUGCCCAUUCGCUUCCCUGUGCCAUCUGGAGCUUCGUGCACUUCACGCUUCACUUCUUCUUUGUACCUACCACUAUUGUCAAUAAACUGUAUACGUACUCGCACACUGAAUCCAGUUUGACUUAUUCCUAACAGAACGAUCUGACCACAUUAUGGAUUCCGCGAGUACACCGACCGUCCAGGAGCUUCUAUCGAUCAACAACGCUUGUAUGGACCAACAGGAGGAACAUCUGCUCAACAUGGGUCGUGCUGUGCAAGCUCUGGUGGUACAGGUGUCCGAGCUCACCUCGCAGCUGCAACAACUAAGGUCGCCCGCUGCGCCACCCACACCGCCGUCUCCUCCCCCGCUCACGAACACGGAACAUCUUCCGGAGCCAUGCCUACCCACGCCUGAGCUAUAUGCUGGUGAGCCUAAACUGUGUAGAGCGUUUUUAACUAAAUGCUCCAUGUUCUCAUUGCAACCUAGGACUUUUGCUACGGAGUCUUCUAAAGUGGCGUUGGUAUUAACGCUACUGUCCGGACGUGCGGCACUUUGGGGCACGGCGGUGUGGGAGAAUCAACAUCCCUGCUGUUCCUCGUUCCUAGCACUCUCCGAGGAGAUGAAACGCGUCUUUGAUCGUGCGGUGGUGGGCCGUGAGGUGGCGUGAAUGCUCACUGAUCUUUGCCAAGGCAACAGAUCAGUAUCGGAUUAUUCAAUCGAGUUUCGCACGUUGGCGGCAGAGUGCAAGUGGAAUGAGCAGGCGCAGUGGGACGUCUUCCUGCAUGGGUUGGCUGAUCGUAUUCAAAGGGAAAUAUUCACUCUGGACCUACCCUCUGAUCUGGAUGGACUCAUUGAUUUGGCGAGUUGACGCCAGGUUACAGCGGCGUGGUCAGCUUUGCUCGAACACCCUGGCGCCUGAUUUCUCUGCCAGUUCAGUUGCUGCCUCCACGAAUACGGUCAGCCCCGCGUUUGACCAUGAACCCAUGCAGGUGGGUAGAGCUCGGCUUUCCCGGGAGGAGAGAGAGCGUCGGAGAGCUAAAGGACUUUGUAUUUACUGUGGUGCGGCCGGCCAUUUUCUGUUGAACUGUCCGGUAAAAGGAACAGCCCGACAGUAGAAUCGAGGUUACUGUCGGGCGGAGUAUUACUGGAAAAGUCCUUGUCUACGACUCUCCUCCCGGUUAGACUGGGCAGCCGCUUUCCACAACUGUCUGGCCCUGGUGGAUUCUGGAGCGGAAGGUAACUUCACUUGAUGGACUUUGAUCUCGCUCAUCGUCUUCACAUUCCUGUUGUUCCCCUCACUCACAAGAUUACUGUUAAUGCACUUAAUGGACAAGCGCUCCCCGAUAUCACCCACACCACAGGACCGGUUACCCUCGUCACAUCUGGUAACCAUUCAGAGAGUAUCACCCUGCUGCUCACUCCUUCUCCACUGGCACCAAUCGUCCUCGGCCAUCCCUGGCUGGUCCAGCACAAUCCCAGGGUGGACUGGGGUCACAAUUCUGUGUCCGCUUGGAGUGACUCCUGUUAUGCCUCUUGUCUUGUGUCUGUUGGUUCGUCUGUGUCUUGUUCUCUGUUGCAGAAUGAGUCGGUGAACCUGUCUAACAUGUCUGAGGAGUACCGUGACCUGAAGGAAGUGUUCAAUCGUUGUCUUCCGUCUUAGUGUGAGGAUUGUGUUCCAGUGCUCUGCUUUCGGCAACCUUCGCUUGGGUCCUGUUUCCUGUUCGCUCCGGUUUCCUGAAUUAAUCUCCCCGGAGGUUCGGCUGCCCAUUCGCGUCCCUGUGCCAUCUGGAGCUUCGUGCACUUCACGCUUCACUUCUUCUUUGUACCUACCACUAUUGUCAAUAAACUGUAUACGUACUCGCACACUGAAUCCAGUUUGACUUAUU